GAACAAUACGAGAACGCUACGAAAACGGUACAGUGUAAACGCUGCCUAAGUAGACGCAUAUACAGGGUGUCUCAAAAAAACCGCUACCCUUAGAAAUUCACCAUUGUUCUAAUUUGAAUGCCUGAACCUUGUUGAAGCCCUAAAUGUGUAAACAUUUUCACAGGAUGCAUAUAUUAAAGAUCUUCGGGAUUAAAAUAUCCUUGAAAAGCGAAAUUUUUUAUCCUGGGAAUUGAAAAUAGUUCAUACAAAAGUAUAACUGCACGAAAAUCGUUCAAUUACAUAUUAGUGAAUGUCAAGGAAAUGGCUCGACUGAGCACAGAGCAAAGAGUAUUUAUUGUCUUGAACUACCCAUGAGUUCAAGAUAGCACUCAGGCAUUCAAAUUAGAACAAUGGUGAAUUUCCAAGGGUAGCGGUUUUUUUGAGACACCCUGUACUGUCAUAUAGACUCCAUGCAAGCAAAUGGGUAAAAAACGAGAUAAACUUAGGAUACAACUGAACUGCAUUCAUAGCUCAAAUUUGGGGUGCCAAAACCAAUGUACUAUUGACAGCAAAUAAAACCACAGUUUGAAGUCGCCAGGAAAUUGUUGAAGGAUUUUAGUAGGUGGAAAUUUCGAGUGUAAAUUUUAUUGAAUUAGUAGAUCUAACGAGAAGUAGUUGCGAACAAUGCAUUGUUUGAACACUAUGACUAUGUCUAUGUUCGAUUGGGUUUGAACGUACUUGGUUUAAAAUUUUCGUUCAACAUUGACAUUGUUGUUAAUGAAUUCGUUUGAAG
rnacentral:lncRNA from 1 species